rnacentral:misc_RNA from 1 species
UUUCCGUAGGUGAACCUGCGGAAGGAUCAUUAAUGAGUUGUCAUGGGGUUCGAUGCUGGCAGCCAAUUUUUGGAUGCAUGUGCUUGCCCUAACAAUCAUCUUCCAAACACCUGUGCACAUUUUUGAGGGAGUCUUGAGUUGGUUGCCGCUCUUGGGUGAUUUUCUCACAUUCCCUUAAAUCAUUAUACGCUAUUAACAAUGUUGAUCGUGCUCUGUGCCGCAAGGCUAUUAAUAUAAUACAACUUUUAACAACGGAUCUCUUGGCUCUC